rnacentral:rRNA from 1 species
CGAGUCCGAGUCUCCACGGAGACGAAGUGGCGGUCAUCCAGCUUCCUAGAAAAGCUCUAACCACGUUAAUCUUUAGUUGCCUGUACCCGAAACCGACACAGGUAGGGGGGUAGAGAAUACCAAGGGGCGCGAGAUAACUCUCUCUAAGGAACUCGGCAAAAUGACCCCGUAACUUCGGGAGAAGGGGUACCACUGAGAAGUGGUCGCAGUGAAGAGGCCCAGGCGACUGUUUACCAAAAACACAGGUCUCCGCCAAGUCGCAAGACGAAGUAUGGGGGCUGACGCCUGCCCAGUGCCGGAAGGUUAAGGAAGUGGGUUAGGGAUUCGUCCCGAAGCUGACGACUGAAGCCCCGGUGAACGGCGGCCGUAACUAUAACGGUCCUAAGGUAGCGAAAUUCCUUGUCGGGUAAGUUCCGACCCGCACGAAAGGCGUAACGAUCUGGGCGCUGUCUCGGAGAGAGGCUCGGCGAAAUAGGAUUGUCUGUGAAGAUACGGACUACCUGCACCUGGACAGAAAGACCCUAUGAAGCUUUACUGUAGCUUGGAAUUGGGUUCGGGCUUGGUUUGCGCAGGAUAGGUGGGAGGCGAAGAAGAUUUGCUUGUGGGUGAAUCUGAGCCAACGGUGAGAUACCACUCUAACCAGGCUAGAAUUCUAACUUCAACCCGUCAACCGGGGGAAGGACAGUUUCAGGUGGGCAGUUUGACUGGGGCGGUCGCCUCCUAAAAGAUAACGGAGGCGCACAAAGGUUCCCUCAGGCUGGUUGGAAAUCAGCCAACGAGUGCAAAGGCAGAAGGGUGCUUGACUGCGAGACCUACAAGUCAAGCAGGGUGGAAACACGGUCUUAGUGAUCCGACGGCACCGAGUGGAAGGGCCGUCGCUCAACGGAUAAAAGUUACUCUAGGAUAACAGGCUGAUCUCCCCCAAGAGUUCACAUCGACGGGGAGGUUUGGCACCUCGAUGUCGGCUCAUCGCAACCUGGGGCGGAAGUACGUCCCAAGGGUUGGGCUGUUCGCCCAUUAAAGCGGUACGUGAGCUGGGUUCAGAACGUCGUGAGACAGUUUGGUCCAUAUCCGGUGUAGGCGCAAGAACAUUGAGAGGAGUCUUCCUUAGUACGAGAGGACCGGGAAGAACGCACCGCUGGUGUACCUGUUAUCGUGCCAACGGUAAACGCAGGGUAGCCAAGUGCGGAGUGGAUAACCGCUGAAAGCAUCUAAGUGGGAAGCCCACCUCAAGAUGAGUGUUCUCAUGGAGUAAUCCAGUAAGGUCACGGGAAGACGACCCGUUGAUAGGCGGUAGGUGGAAGUUCAGCAAUGGAUGAAGCCGAGCCGUACUAACAGACCGAGGGCUUGAC